ACACAAAAGCAGACAUUUUGAAGAAUGUUGGUAACCAAACAGAUUUGGUUACCACUGACUUCCGUUGUAUAGACAAGAAACAAAAAC